CGGUUGCCUUCCCCAGAGCCGGGGACACAGGCUUAUCGGAAACCUGCACUCAAGAACAUCUGUCAAAGUCCUGUAGCUGAUUAUAAACCACCUUCUAAAGAGGACCAAAACAAGACAACCAUUGUUUGUGGAUGACAAAACAUCUUCGGACAGCCAUCAUUAAAGCCACAACUGAUAAGGAAAUUUGAUUACUUCUGUGGCAUACAAAAUUUUACAUAACAAUUAUAUCUAUUAAUAACAUACACUAAAUCAUGUGAGAAUUAUAGGAGUUUUAAAAGUAAUUUUGGAACACAUACCAAUAACACAUUUAUAUAUACAAAUACAGCCCAAAGAAAACCAAAUACCAUUUUAUAUUUGACAAUGCUUCCUGUAAGAUUC
rnacentral:lncRNA from 10 species